rnacentral:rRNA from 1 species
UGGGGAAUAUUGCACAAUGGAGGGAACUCUGAUGCAGCGACGCCGCGUGAACGAAGAAGGCUUUCGAGUCGUAAAGUUCUUUUAUAUGGGAAGAUAAUGACGGUACCAUAAGAAAAAGCCCCGGCUAACUACGUGCCAGCAGCCGCGGUAAUACGGAGGGGGCUAGCGUUGUCCGGAAUCACUGGGCGUAAAGGGUUCGCAGGCGGAAAUGCAAGUCAGGUGUAAAAGGCAGUAGCUUAACUACUGUAAGCAUUUGAAACUGCAUAUCUUGAGAAGAGUAGAGGUAAGUGGAAUUUUUAGUGUAGCGGUGAAAUGCGUAGAUAUUAAAAAGAAUACCGGUGGCGAAGGCGACUUACUGGGCUCAUUCUGACGCUGAGGAACGAAAGCGUGGGUAGCAAACAGG